CCGAAAGGUAGGAGUGUUCGUAAGGGAGUGCGGAGACAGGUGGUGCAUGGCUGUUGUCAGCUCGUGUCGUGAGAUGUUGGGUUAAGUCUCGCAACGAGCGCAACCUUCACCCUUUGUUGCCACCAGGUUAUGCUGGGUACUCUAGGGGAACUGUCUCGGUCAACGGGGAGGAAGGUGGGGACGACGUCAAGUCAUCAUGUUUCUUACGUCCUGGGCUACACACGUGCUACAAUGGCUGGUACAGAGGGAUGCUAGACUGCGAGGUGGAGCUAAACCUAAAAAGCCGGUCUAAGUUCAGAUUGGAGUCUGCAACUCGACUCCAUGAAGGAGGAAUCGCUAGUAAUCGCGUAUCAGCAUGACGUGGUGAAUACGUUUUUGGGCCUUGUACACACCGUCUGUCACACCACGAAAGCCAGCUGUACUCGAAGUCGCUGAG
rnacentral:rRNA from 1 species